rnacentral:lncRNA from 1 species
UCUUUUUAUUUUUUAUCAUAGAUGGGAUAUAAUUUCUGAGUGUACAUGUUACAGAAUCAUACUGGUCAUAUAGUCACAUAUAUACAUACAGUAAUAAUGUCUGUAAUAAUUUGAUUAGGUGCAGUGUCUAAGUCUUUGAUCCACUUUGAGUUGAUUUUUAUGCAGUGUGAGAGAUUUUGCUAAAUAUGGAUUUCUAGUUUUGCCAGCACCAUUUGUAGAAGAGGCUAUCUUUUCUCCAGUGAAUGUUUUUGGCACCCUCGUCUAGUAAGAGAUAACUGUAUUUAUGUGGGUUUGUCUCUGUGUCCUCUGUUCUGUACCAUUGAUCUACAAAUCUAUUUUGGAGCCAAUACCAUGCUGUUUUUGUUACUAAUAGCUCUGUAGUACAGUGUAAGGUCUGCUUCACUUUUCUUACUAAGGAUUGCUUUAGCUAUUCUGGGUCUCUUAUUUUUACAAAUAAAUUUCAUGAUUGCUUUUUCUAUUUCUAUGAAGAAUGUCAUUGGGAUUUUAAUAGGAAUUGCAUUAAAUCUGUAUAAUGCUUUUGGUAGUAUGGCCAUUUUGACAAUAUUAAUUCUGUUUAUUCAGGAGCAUGGGAGAUCUUUCCAUCUUCUGAGGUUUUCUUCAAUUUCUUUCUUUAGUGUUCUGUAGUUUUCAUUAUAGAGGUCUUUCACCUCUUUUGUUAGAUUAAUUCCCAGGUUUUCGUUCUAUUUUGUUUUAUGCUCAUAAGUGUUUUGUUUAUUUAUUUGUUUAUUUAUUUAUUUGAGGCUAUUGUGAAUGGAGUAGUUUUUCUAAUUUCUCUUUCAGUGGAUUCAUUGCUGAUAUAUAGAAAUGCAUUUGAUUUAUGGGUAUUGAUUUUAUAUCCUGUUACUCUGGAAUUUUUGGGAUCUUCUAGAUAUAGAAUCAUGUUAUCAGCAAAUAGUGGUAGCUUGAGUGCUUCUUUACCUAUUUGAAUCUCUUUAAUGUCUAAUUGCUCUGUCUAGAGUUUCAAGGAUGAUGUUGAAUAGAAGUGGUGAAAGAGGACAUCCUUGUCUUGUUCCAGUUUUUAGAGGGAAUGCUUUCGAUUUUUCUCCAUUUAGAAUGAUCCUGGCCUUGGGUUUAGCAUAUAUAGCUUUUGCCAUGUUGAGGAAUGUUCCACUUAUCCCUAGUUUUCCUAGUGUUUUGAACAUGAAGGUGUGCUGUACUUUGUCAAAUGCUUUUUCUGCAUCUAUUGAGAUGAUCAUGUGAUUCUUGUUUUUAAGUCCAUUAAUAUGAUGAAUUACGUUUAUUGAUUUCCAUAUGUUGAACCAACCCUGCAUUCCUGGGAUGAAUCCCACUUGAUCGUGGUGCACUAUCUUUUUAAUAUGUUUUUGUAUGUGAUUUUCCAGAAUUUUAUUGAGAAUUUUUGCAUCAAUGUUUAUCAGAGAUAAGAUUUUUUUAAAUUUCAUCCUUGAUUUGUGAAGUUUUCUUUCCUUGAUGUGUCUUUGCUGGUUUUGGUAUCGGUGAUAUUACCCUCAUAGAAUGAAUUUGGAAGGGUUCCCUCCUUUUCUAUUUCAUGGACUACUUUGAGGAGUAUUGGUGUUAAUUUUCCUUUGAAAGUCUUGUAGAACUUGGCUGAGAAUUUAUCUGGUCUUGGGUUUUUCUUGGUUGGUAGGCUUUUGAUGGCAUUUUCUACUUCAUUAUUUGAAAUUGAUCUGUUGAAAUCAUGUAUGACCUCCUCAUUCAGUUUGGGUGGGUCAUACGUCUCUAGAAAUUUGUCACAAUGUCUUUGAUAUUUUCUAUUGUAUUAGAGUAUAAAUUUUCGAAAUAGUAUCUAAUUACCUUCUGUAUUUCAGAUGUGUCCCUUGUGAUAUUUCCUUCUUCAUCCUGUAUUUUAGUAAUUGCCGCAGUCUGGCUGGGCACAAUCAGGAGCCACUUGUCAAAAGAAACUAACUUUAUUUUUAGAACCACACACGCCAAACAAAACAGCNGUUUCAAUUUUAUUAAUUUCUGCUCUGAUUUUAAUUAUUUCCUGUCUUCUACUGUAUUUAUGUGGGUUUGUCUCUGUGUCCAGAGACAAAUUGGGAUUUUAAUAGGCAUUGCAUUAAAUCUGUAUAACGCUUUUGGUAGUAUGGCCAUUUUGACAAUAUUAAUUCUGUUUAUUCCAGAGAAUGGGAGAUCUUUCCAUAGUGAGAGAGGUGUGUUAAAGUCACCCAGUAUUAUUGUAUUAUGGUCUGUUUGACUCUUGAAAUCGAGAAGGGUUUGUUUGAUGUAUGUAGAUGCUCCAUUGUACAUAUCUGUUAUGUCCUGCUUAUAUAUAUUUCUUUUAAGAAGUAUGAAAUGUCCUUCUUUGUCUCUUCUGAUUAACUUUGGUUUGAAGUCUACUUUAUCUGAGAUGAGGAUGGAAACCCCUGCUUGUUUACGCAAUCCCUAUGAGUGAUAAGUUUUCCCCUCCUUUUACCUUCAGCCUGUGAUGUCUUUGCCCAUGAGGUGAGUCUCCUGAAGACAGCAUAUUGUUGGGCCUUGCUUUUUAAUCCAAUCUGACAAUCUGUGUCUUUUGAUUGAUUGAUUUAGGCCAUUAACAUUCAAGGUUAUUAUUGAGAUAUCAAUAAUAAUGACGGUAUUCCCUGUCAUUUUGAUUUAUUUCUGGUUUUUUAUUUGUCCUAGUUUCUCAUUUGAUUGCAUGUCCCUUUAGUGUAGAUCCUCCCUUUGCUGGUUUUCACUUUUUUUUUUUUUUUACUUCAUCAUGGAAUAUUUUGUGGGAAUGCUCUGAAGUGUAGGCUUUGUAGUUGUAAAUUCCUUUAAUUUUUGUUUAUCAUGGAAUGUUUUAAUUUCAUCUUCAAAUCUGAAACUUAAUUUUGCUGUAUAUAAAAUUCUUGGAUGGCAUUUGUUUUCUUUCAGAGCUUGAAAUAUAUUAUUCAGGACCUCCUACUUUUGAGGGUCUGGGUUGGGAAAUCAGUUGAGAUCUGAAUUGGUUUCCCCCAUACGUAAUUUGAUUUUUUUCUCUCAGAGCCUUUAAGAUUUUAUCUUUAUUCUCUGUGUCAGUCAUUCUCAUCAUCAUGUGUCUUGGUGUGGGUCUGCUGUAAUUUUGUACAUUUGGGGUCCUGUAAGCCUCUUGUAUUUGAUUUUCCAUUCUAUAGAUGUGGGUAAUUUUCUGCCAUUACUUCAUCUGUUCUGAUAACUCUUAAAUUUGGUUUUUCCAUGUUAUCCCAUAAUUCUUGGAUGUUCUGUUCAUGAUUUCUUACCAUCUUCUCUGCAUGGUCAACUCUACUUUCAAGAUUAUAUAUUUUGUCUUCAUUGUCUGAGGUUCUGUCUUCCAAGUGGUCUAGUCUGUUGGUGAUGCUUUCUAUUAAAUUUAUAAUUUGGUUUACUGAUUCCUUCAUUUUGAGGAUUUCUGCUUAUUUUUUUUAUGAUCUCUAACUUUUUAUUGAAGUGGUCUUUCACUUCCUGUAUUUUUUCUUUGAUUUCAUUCCUUUAAUACUAUCCUUCACUUCACACUUCAAUUUAACUGUAUACAUUCUGAACUCCUUCUAGGACAUUUCUCCUACUGUGUUAUCAGUGGCUACUGUUGUUGAAGCAUCUUGGUUUGUUUGGGGUGCUUUAUUCCCUUGUUUUUUUGUGUUGUUAGUGUGUUUUCCCAUCUAGCAGUACGGAUCUAAGUCAGGAUAAAUUCUACCCUGUAGACCUAUAGUGUCCCCGAAGAUUUUCAGCACUUCUCCUCUACUGGUGAGACCAAUCGCAACAGCACCCAGUGCACACAAUAUAUAGUCUUAAACCUAAUAGCUCCCACUAAGGCGUCUACUGCUUUCUCAUACUGAACCAAAAUGUUGACUUCAAUAACUAUUUAUAGUACAAAUAGAAUAUUUGUUAAAAUGAUUUACAAUUUCAAAUGGUGGAUGAGAGAACAGAGGUAUGUAGUAUGUGAUAUUCAUGAAGGAGGAAGAGAGAAUCUAGAAGUAGAAAUUCACAGGAAGAGUGGAAGAGGAGCCAACAGAGAUUGGCUGUGGGUUGGAGAAAAAUUGGAAAGAAAAUCCAAGACAGUAGAUGAGAGGAGGAAUACGAACAAGGAGAAAAAAGUAAAGACAUAAGAAUGUAACAAAAAUGUAAAACACCAUUCAUAUAUCAUUGUCCUCCACAUACUGAUGUAUAAAAAUCAUACUGUUCCAAAUAUGGUAGAGAGAUUAGUGAAUCAAAAAAUAAAUAAAUCUUGCUGGAAAGUCUGUCUCAGUGUUCAACAGUUUCUCAGCCCUGUCUCUGACAUCCCUUGGGAUCACCAAACCCAGAUCAGCCCUCGCAAACCCAGCCUCUAUCCCACCCAUCUGGGCUUCAGAUACCUCAGGCUCGGCCACCUGCAGGCCCAAGACCUCAGUGCUGCUCCUGCUUGCAGAGAGACCACCAGGAUACACUCAUGCAGAG